GUCUCAAAAAACUCAAAGUAAAUUUCCAGUUCCAAGUCAUGCUCAUGUUUCUCUGUCAUCAAAUUAUUUUGAAAUCACAAAUGGGGAUGAUGCUAAUGCUAAAGAUGUCGGAAAUUCUCCUAGUGUUGAAAAUACAAAACAAGAAAAACAGUUUCCGAAGUGGAAAUGCACU